rnacentral:rRNA from 1 species
CACGUAGGGCGCAAGCGUUGUCCGGAUUUAUUGGGCGUAAAGAGCUCGUAGGCGGCUUGUUGCGUCGGCUGUGAAAACCCAUGGCUCAACCGUGGGCUUGCAGCCGAUACGGGCAGGCUAGAGUUCGGUAGGGGAGACUGGAAUUCCUGGUGUAGCGGUGAAAUGCGCAGAUAUCGUAAGGAAGACCAGUGGCGAAGGCGGGUCUCUGGACAGUUCCUGACGCUGAGGCACGAAGGCCAGGGGAGCAAACGGG